rnacentral:rRNA from 1 species
UGUGAGGGGAGUGAAAUAGAACCUGAAACCGUGUACGUACAAGCAGUAGGAGCACCUUCGUGGUGUGACUGCGUACCUUUUGUAUAAUGGGUCAGCGACUUAUAUUCAGUGGCAAGGUUAACCGUAUAGGGGAGCCGUAGCGAAAGCGAGUCUUAACUGGGCGCUCAGUCUCUGGAUAUAGACCCGAAACCGGGUGAUCUAGCCAUGGGCAGGUUGAAGGUUGAGUAACAUCAACUGGAGGACCGAACCGACUAAUGUUGAAAAAUUAGCGGAUGACUUGUGGCUAGGGGUGAAAGGCCAAUCAAACUCGGAGAUAGCUGGUUCUCCCCGAAAGCUAUUUAGGUAGCGCCUCGGACGAAUACUACUGGGGGUAGAGCACUGUUAAGGCUAGGGGGUCAUCCCGACUUACCAACCCUUUGCAAACUCCGAAUACCAGUAAGUACUAUCCGGGAGACACACGGCGGGUGCUAACGUCCGUCGUGGAGAGGGAAACAACCCAGACCGCCAGCUAAGGUCCCAAAGUAUUGCUAAGUGGGAAACGAUGUGGGAAGGCUCAGACAGCUAGGAUGUUGGCUUAGAAGCAGCCAUCAUUUAAAGAAAGCGUAAUAGCUCACUAGUCGAGUCGGCCUGCGCGGAAGAUGUAACGGGGCUAAGCAAUACACCGAAGCUGCGGCAAUGUCUUUUAGACAUUGGGUAGGGGAGCGUUCUGUAAGCCGUUGAAGGUGAAUCGUAAGGUUUGCUGGAGGUAUCAGAAGUGCGAAUGCUGACAUGAGUAACGACAAAGGGGGUGAAAAACCUCCUCGCCGGAAGACCAAGGGUUCCUGUCCAACGUUAAUCGGGGCAGGGUGAGUCGACCCCUAAGGUGAGGCCGAAAGGCGUAAUCGAUGGGAAACGGGUUAAUAUUCCCGUACUUCUGACUAUUGCGAUGGGGGGACGGAGAAGGCUAGGUGGGCCAGGCGACGGUUGUCCUGGUUCAAGUGCGUAGGCUUGAGAGUUAGGUAAAUCCGGCUCUCUCUAAGGCUGAGACACGACGUCGAGCUACUACGGUAGUGAAGUCAUUGAUGCCAUGCUUCCAGGAAAAGCCUCUAAGCUUCAGAUAGUCAGGAAUCGUACCCCAAACCGACACAGGUGGUCGGGUAGAGAAUACCAAGGCGCUUGAGAGAACUCGGGUGAAGGAACUAGGCAAAAUGGUACCGUAACUUCGGGAGAAGGUACGCUCUUGAUGGUGAAGUCCCUCGCGGAUGGAGCUGACGAGAGUCGCAGAUACCAGGUGGCUGCAACUGUUUAUUAAAAACACAGCACUGUGCAAAAUCGCAAGAUGACGUAUACGGUGUGACGCCUGCCCGGUGCCGGAAGGUUAAUUGAUGGGGUUAGCGCAAGCGAAGCUCUUGAUCGAAGCCCCGGUAAACGGCGGCCGUAACUAUAACGGUCCUAAGGUAGCGAAAUUCCUUGUCGGGUAAGUUCCGACCUGCACGAAUGGCGUAAUGAUGGCCACGCUGUCUCCACCCGAGACUCAGUGAAAUUGAAAUCGCUGUGAAGAUGCAGUGUACCCGCGGCUAGACGGAAAGACCCCGUGAACCUUUACUACAGCUUGGCACUGAACAUUGAACCUACAUGUGUAGGAUAGGUGGGAGGCUAUGAAGACGUGACGCCAGUUGCGUUGGAGCCGUCCUUGAAAUACCACCCUUGUAUGUUUGAUGUUCUAACUUAGACCCAUUAUCUGGGUUGAGGACAGUGCCUGGUGGGUAGUUUGACUGGGGCGGUCUCCUCCCAAAGAGUAACGGAGGAGCACGAAGGUGGGCUAAUCACGGUUGGACAUCGUGAGGUUAGUGCAAUGGCAUAAGCCCGCUUAACUGCGAGAAUGACGGUUCGAGCAGGUGCGAAAGCAGGUCAUAGUGAUCCGGUGGUUCUGUAUGGAAGGGCCAUCGCUCAACGGAUAAAAGGUACUCCGGGGAUAACAGGCUGAUACCGCCCAAGAGUUCAUAUCGACGGCGGUGUUUGGCACCUCGAUGUCGGCUCAUCACAUCCUGGGGCUGAAGUCGGUCCCAAGGGUAUGGCUGUUCGCCAUUUAAAGUGGUACGCGAGCUGGGUUUAGAACGUCGUGAGACAGUUCGGUCCCUAUCUGCCGUGGGCGUUGGAAGAUUGAAGGGGGCUGCUCCUAGUACGAGAGGACCGGAGUGGACGAACCUCUGGUGUUCGGGUUGUGUCGCCAGACGCAUUGCCCGGUAGCUAAGUUCGGAAUUGAUAAGCGCUGAAAGCAUCUAAGCGCGAAGCGAGCCCUGAGAUGAGUCUUCCCUGACAGUUUAACUGUCCUAAAGGGUUGUUCGAGACUAGAACGUUGAUAGGCAGGGUGUGUAAGCGUUGUGAGGCGUUGAGCUAACCUGUACUAAUUGCCCGUGAGGCUUAACCAUACAACACCCAAGG